UACGUAGGGUGCAAGCGUUAUCCGGAAUUAUUGGGCGUAAAGAGCUCGUAGGCGGUUUGUCGCGUCUGCUGUGAAAACUGGAGGCUCAACCUCCAGCCUGCAGUGGGUACGGGCAAACUAGAGUGCGGUAGGGGAGAUUGGAAUUCCUGGUGUAGCGGUGGAAUGCGCAGAUAUCAGGAGGAACACCGAUGGCGAAGGCAGAUCUCUGGGCCACUACUGACGCUGAGAAGCGAAAGCAUGGGGAGCGAACAGG
rnacentral:rRNA from 1 species